GAAGGUUGCUUGUCAACCGCCAUAAAAACAAAAGAAGAAGAAGAAGACGGUGAAAGAAGCGAGCAGGACGCUAAUAAGUCUGUCUUAUUAUUUGUUCUCCAGUUAGAAAUAUUUACGUCGUAUAAAAUAAAUCUUUGAUUCUUUAUUCAAGGAUGAAGUGGUCUCGAUGCGCUAGAAGCACUGUGCCGCUUCUCCUGCUAUCUUUGCUUGUUAGUUAGCUUAGCUCGCUAGUUAGCUUAGCUUGUUAGCUGCUAACAGAAGACACAGAAGUUAUCAACGCAUCGCUAAGUAGAGAUCAAGUGUGAGAGUAAAGUCUUGUGAUUGUGUGAAAAUGUCUACAUUACACAUGUUGAGAGCGUUGGUGGAUCAGCGACUAACUGCUGCCGUUGAAGAAAUAUUUGUAGUGUUAGAAAGAACGAUAGCAGAAUACGAGGCGGAACUUUCUAGAAGAAAGGAGGAAAACUAUCAACUACUGGACGCUCUUUUCACGAAACAUCAAGUUGUGUUACACAAAACAGGUGGAUUGGAUGUUGGCCUGGGAAGGCAUUCCCCUGAAGGUCUUCUUCAUGUGUCGGCUGGAAGUACCCUGACUGCUGUGAGGGGGAAACUGAUGAGAUUACGUUGAAGAAGAGCCACAAUUCCCCAACAUACAUGAGGAAGAAGAGGUUCUACAUUCCCAACACAUAAAAGAGGGAGGGCAGGAGCCACAGCCCCCCCACAUUAAAAAGGAAGCAGCAGAACACAGCAUCAGUCAGGAGGGAGAGCAUAUUGAAGGACUGGAGUUCCCAGUGACUGUGAAGAGUGAAGAUGAUGAGGUCAAAGGUGAAAGUGAGGAGAGGGGAGGGGGGGAGCCUCCAAGCAGCAGCUCAACACAACACAUGACAACAGAAGCUGAUGGAGACCACUGUGGAGGAUCACAAGCAGACAAGCUCUUAGCUCCACUAUCAGAUAGUGAGGACACAACCUCACACUCUCCUGACACUGAUGAUGAAGACUCUAAAGAUGAUAAGACAUGUCACACUGACAACACUCACUUCACAUGUUCUCUCUGUGACAAAACCUUCAAAUACCAUAGUUAUCUGAAAAGACACAUGAGAAUACACACUGGAGAAAAACCUUUUCCUUGCUCAGAAUGUGGUAAAUGUUUUGUAACAAGUUGCAAUUUGAAAGUACACAUGAGAACACACAGCGGAGAAAAACCUUUUAUCUGUUCAGUCUGUGGUAAAGGUUUUGUUCAAAGUAACAAUUUGAAAGUGCACAUGAAAAUACACACCGAAGAAAAACGUUUUAUCUGUUCGAUGUGCGGUAAAGGUUUUAUACAAAGUCAGAGUUUGAAAGUACACAUGAGAACACACACUGGUGGAAAAUGACAUUCCUGUUCAAUCUGCAACAGAAGCUUUUGUGAGCGAUCAAACCUUGUAGCACACAUGAGAACACACCCAGGAGAGAAAGUGUUGAGUUGCAGUGUGUGUGGUGAAAGAUUGUCUUCUAAGUAGCAGUGUAAGAAACACAAGUGUGCUGGUGAGAACAGCAGCAGCAAAUGAAACUGCAGGAUUUGAAAUAAACUGUCAAGACUUUAAUGUUGACUUUCUAACAACAUCAGCACAUAUAACAUGUGUGACAUUGUUGUUUGUGUAACAAUCUUUUUAAUAUGCUUCUACAUUUAUAGAUUAGAUAGUUUGAAAUAUGAAAAUAUUACAUACUUGUAUUUCUAAUUGUUAAUAAUCCCAUGGACUAGCGCCUUUAUAUGAUAUACAUAUUUACUGCUUCACAUCUGAAACAUCUUCUGGACCACUUCAGGGAGCAUAUUAUUAUUUACUUUAUACAUCAUUUGAACAGUUGUUUUUUUUAUUAAUUUUUAAAAUGUGUGACUUCAUAAUUUUUGGUGGGUUUCUACAAUCCAUUUGAUUAAUUAUCUUCAUUAUUCUCUUUUGUAAUAUGAUGAUUGUGUUGUGAUUAUUUUGUAUGUAUGUCCCCAGACCUUUAUGCAUUAUAACAGUGAGAGAAAAUGGCUGAAUUGUUUGUGGAAGGACGUUUAUUUUUUUUAAUUUAUUUUUUUAAUUUUUUUACGAACUUACAUUCGUGGAUAAAACAAAACAUUUCAUUAUUGGGUUUCGUGUUUAAUGUGUUUUCUUUUUAAACAUCCCCAAAACAAUAUCAAUAUCAAUCAAAGUAGGAAGUGUCAGGCAAAAGCCAAUAUUGUACAUCAUCCCACAGAUAUUUACUUUGCAUUAUGUUGGAGCCAAAUUAACUUAUUUGUUUAUUUUGUUUUUAUUUUGUUUUCUCUAUUUGAUUGCUGGCUCUGUUGAUGCGGGAUUUCCUUUUUGGCAGAUUGCUCCGCCCACUUCCUCUUGAGUACCAGGAAGUGUUGACAGGGAUGGGACCAUUGUUAUGGUGCAGUUGCCAUGGUAACGUCAUUUAAUUGGGUUCAGGUGGGAGUAUUCGGGGCGAUUGCAUGGAGGACACAAACAGUUUAGGACGGUGCCGUGCGUGGUCAGGUCUCGCUGCUGUGACAAUGUUCCAUUCAAGCCAAGGUCAGCAUACUUCAUGUUCUAUAGUCUACAUUUGAUUUCAGUUUGAUAGCUUAAAAUAAACGGAUUGUCAUAUCCAAACAUA